rnacentral:lncRNA from 1 species
UUUCAAAAUAGUUUUUGACAUUUUUUUAAUAUGAAUUUUUGUAUGUUUUAAUGUUAAUUGUGACUUUUUGUAAAAGGUUAAAAGUAAAAUUUCUGUGUUGUUUAUGUCUUGUUGUCAAGUACUCUAUCUGUUUUGCAUGAAGAGAAAUUGUAAUACAUUCCAACUUUGUUGUUAUAUGCAUUUGUUUAGAUUUACCAUAAAAAUGAAGUAUUGUGAAACAAGCAGUCAAGUGCGCCUUAUGAUUAUGAUUUGUUAAUCAAGUUGACCGGUAGACCUUAAAAUUAAGAAUUAUAGGUCAAGUACUCGUACAAGAUAAUGCAUGAGGUCUCCUUUGCCAACAUAAAUGGUUGUCAUAAAAAUCACAGUUGCAAAAUAUAUCCGUUAUUUAUUUUGAAAUUUACAAUCAACUUGCUUUCUAUGGUAGAUUUAAACUUGGUAUAAAAUGUUGGUUAUUGUUAUAAAAUAAUUAUUGUUAAUUUUUAAAUUUAAAGAUAUUUAAUUGUUCACACUGAAAAAUAAACCUUUUUCACUUUUGUUAUUUAACUUUAAUAAAUGUUUAUUGUAAACAAGAAACCUACUUUUGUGAUAUUUUUUUGUAAUCCUAUUGUUGGGAACAUUGUUAUUUUGUGAAACAAGUACUAUAAUUUAUAAUUCAAUGGGUACUAGUAUUUGUGGAUAUAAGGGGGAAAGGUGAACUAUAAACUCAAAUAUUCAACAAAAGACCUAUUCCAUAUAGGCAAUUAUGCAUAAAUCAUUAAAACCACAAAUUGAAGUACCCUUUAAAUGCAUGAAAAUUAGUUGUAUCUCUUUUAUUCCUUUUAAAAAUUUACUUUUAUAUUUUUUUUCGCUGAAUUUGGUAAAAAUCAAACUAAACAGAAUUCUUCAGACAUUUUUUUCAGUUAACUUUUCUGUGAUACAUGAAUUAGAGGCAUGUCAUUUACAGAAUAAAUUCUUUACUCUUGUUCUAUAUAAUUUAAAAAUAGCUUACACUAUGUUUAAAAAUACCAUUGAAAGUUUAUCAUUGUGUAAAUUACAAUCAAUUUGUAUAAUUUUAAAGUUUGUUCUAAAGGGCUGGUUGUUUGUGUUUAACACAAUUAUAGGUUUUUGUUGUUGUAUUGAGACAACAUAUUCAGCAGGUGUUUUAAAUAUGGGCUUUGAUCAUUGUUGAACAUUGUUGAAGGCUGUAAGGUGACAUAGUUGUUAUUUCUGUGUCAUUUUGGUCUCUUGUGGAGAGUUGUUUCAUUGGCAAUUAUAUCACAUCUUCUUUUCUAUUCAUGAUAAACUUAGAAUCUACAGGACUGUGGCUAAAUUUUUGGAAAACUUUAGUAAGAUUCUGAAGGCUAGUGUAGAUGAUAUUUCCAGACUUUAUUAAGAUUGAUUUCAUGUAGAACAUUUGUUUAAAUGUCAAAUCUAACCUUGAGAAUGAGAAAUGACAAUCUAACUUUUAGAAUGAGGAAUUCAAAUACAAUUGAUAGACUGAUGAUGAAAUUUCAAUGGUAUUUUUAUAUUACCUGUAACUUGUUAACACCAUGAUACUGUUAUAUCUAUAUAUUGUUAUAUCUCAAUAUUUACAAUAAACUAUUUUAUCCAC